CCUACGGGAGGCAGCAGUAGGGAAUCUUCGGCAAUGGGGGCAACCCUGACCGAGCAACGCCGCGUGAGUGAAGAAGGUUUUCGGAUCGUAAAGCUCUGUUGUAAGUCAAGAACGAGUGUGAGAGUGGAAAGUUCACACUGUGACGGUAGCUUACCAGAAAGGGACGGCUAACUACGUGCCAGCAGCCGCGGUAAUACGUAGGUCCCGAGCGUUGUCCGGAUUUAUUGGGCGUAAGGCGAGCGCAGGCGGUUAGAUAAGUCUGAAGUUAAAGGCUGUGGCUUAACCAUAGUACGCUUUGGAAACUGUUUAACUUGAGUGCAAGAGGGGAGAGUGGAAUUCCAUGUGUAGCGGUGAAAUGCGUAGAUAUAUGGAGGAACACCGGUGGCGAAAGCGGCUCUCUGGCUUGUAACUGACGCUGAGGCUCGAAAGCGUGGGGAGCAAACAGGAUUAGAUACCCUGGUAGUCCACGCCGUAAACGAUGAGUGCUAGGUGUUAGACCCUUUCCGGGGUUUAGUGCCGCAGCUAACGCAUUAAGCACUCCGCCUGGGGAGUACGACCGCAAGGUUGAAACUCAAAGGAAUUGACGG
rnacentral:rRNA from 1 species